GACGAACGCUGGCGGCGUGCUUAACACAUGCAAGUCGAACGAAGUGGCGAACGGGUGAGUAACGCGUAAUCAACCUGCCCUUCAGAGGGGGAUAACAGUUGGAAACGACUGCUAAUCCCGCAUACUGAAGGAGGGGAUUGCGUCUGCUUAGCUAGUUGGAGGGGUAACGGCCCACCAAGGCGAUGAUCAGUAGACGGUCUGAGAGGAGGAACGGCCACAGUGGGACUGAGACACAGCCCAGACGCCUUCGGGAGGCAGCAGUGGGGAAUCGUCCGCAAUGGACGAAAGUCUGACGGAGCAACGCCGCGUGAGUGAUGACGGCCUUCGGGUUGUAAAGCUCUGUUAAUCGGGACGCGGUACCGGAAUAGAAAGCCACGGCUAACUACGUGCCAGCCGCCGCGGUAAUUC
rnacentral:rRNA from 1 species